rnacentral:lncRNA from 1 species
UUUAUAAGGAGGGGAGAAUUGUCACAUCCCGACCCUUAUAUUUUUACCUUAUUUACUAGCGUGAUUAUAAUAAGUAUUUUACCGUCUCGAUCAUUGAGUUAAUAGUUUAAGUGGUCCCUAGAGGGGUUCGGGGACGAUUAUGUGCGGAGGAUUAUUCGUAUGAGGAAAAAUACGACGACGGUAAAAAUAGUAAAUUUUAGCUAGUAAAAGGUAAUUUUUAUUCGGGUAUUAUUUUUCGGGGUGUUUCAUUUUUUUGAAAUUGGGUUGUUUAAAGGGUGGACCGGUUUGGGGUGUGAGGCCCAAACCCAUUUUCUCUUCUCUCUCUUUUCUACCCGGUUUUCUCUCUCUCUCUCUCCCCGAUUUUUCCUUCCUCCCGCUGCCGUCCGUCCGGCUGUCCUCCUGCCGCCGUCCGGCCACCAGCUGCCGCCGCUCCACCCCAGUUCGGACCCCCAUCUCCUCCUCUCCCCUCCCCGGCCUACGCCCCCGAGCCUCUAACCCGCCGGAAGAGGAGAAACCGCCGGAAACGCCGGGAAGCAUUUCGCCGGAACUCCCUCCUCCGGCACCAAUCCGGGCAAGCUUGGUACGGAUUUGUAGCCCUCCAACCCAGCAGCCUUGCCCUAAAAGGACUCACUCCCUCUUGAGCUAGGUAAGGAGAAAUUUGAGGUGGAAGUUUUAUGGUGUUUUUGAUGUUUUUAGUCGAUUGCCCUAGUUAGGCUUGGAAUUGGUGUUUGUGCUAGUUAUGAAAGUUGUAGAGUAUGAUGAGAGGAAGAUGCUGUUAAAAUUUCAUAGGAAUUGGAGGUCGCCGAAAUUGGCCUCCGGCCGCCGCUGCCGGCGGAGCCGCCGCCGGUUGGGAGAUUUUAAUGUUGUUAAAUUUGGAAUAUUAAGGGGAGUUUAUUGAAGUGAGUUAUGGAAUUUUUGGAUGAGUUUUGGAUAGGCUUAUGAAUUUCCGAAGUUAGUAUUUUUGGCGGUUAAUUUAUGUAGAAUCCGGCCGUUGGAUUAAGUUGUUUAAUCUGUGGGAAGGUGUAGUUACAGCUGCUGGUUCUAGGGUUGAAAUGUGGACCAUUUCGAAGUUAGGCAAUGAUGAGCGUGUUAAUGGCUCUCGGUUAAUUUCUGCCUAUUUUGUGUAAAUAUUGGAAUUUCGGCUGGGAACUUAAUAUUAUAUUUGGAACAGGUCGUGAGGAGGCUCGAGCUGACGAGGCCCCAGAUCGACAUCAGGCUUAGGCCUAAUUAGUGAGUGGACUUUUGUUUUAAAUAAUGUGCGUGCGAAAUAAUUUAUGUUGUUGGAGAAUAACCGAAAUUGAGAAUUUACGGUGAGUGUAUAUAUAUAUAUCCAUAUGUGGAUGAUUAUGAGAAUAAUAUGUAUAUGAGAGAAUGCUAGCUAGCUAUACGUGCUUUUCCACCAUAUUGAGGUAAAAUUCCAUUAUGGUGCAACGUGAGCGUUAGACGCAAUCGUUGUAGCCCUAUAUAAAAUUAAUAAUUUAUAUAGGGGAUAUGCGCGUAUAUUUAUACACCGUCUUUUCCACCAUAAUGAGGUAAAAUGCCAUUAUGGUGCAACGUGAGCGUUAGAUGCAAGCGUUGUAGCCUUGUGUGAAUUUUCUAUUUGUUUUUGUUGUUUCAAGAAAAUUCAUACAAGGGAUAUGACGAGUGUAAUACAUACAUAUUUUAUUUUAGCCUGAGAGGCUGUAUUUUAUUGAGCGUUGGAGACUGGCCGGAGCCAGUCAUGAAAUUCCAAUUUUCGUGUUGAGUGUUUUGAGCUGUCGCAUGCAGCAUAUUUUCUUUUCUAUGGAAAAGUAAAAAUUGGGAAAGCAUAAAGAAUUAUUUCCUUUAUUUUAUUUUUGUCCACUCACUCUAAUGUUAUUAAAUGUUUUCCCCUGGGCCUUUCGUUUUAAAUUGCCCAGUCUGCAGAGUUCGGGUUGGAUCUAGUAGGAGGCGAGACAUAGUCACCCGCAUUUCUGCCAAUUUUCAUCAGUAGGUUACCUGUUCAACCUACUCAUGUUUUCUUGCUUCCGUUUGUGUUUAGUAGCUCUGAAUACUUUAGGAUUAUUGUAAAUUAUGUGAUGUUUAGAAGUGUUGAAUUAAGAGUGAAAUUUGGAAUUUUCGAGUUAGGGUUGUCCAUCUGCAAGGGAGAUUUUCUCAAUCUUU